GUGGUUCAUGUCUUCUGUUUCCUUAUUGAACUUCUGUCUGGUUGUUCUAUCCAUAACUGAAAGUCAGAUAGUGAAAUUGCCUACCAUUAUUGUGUUGCUGUUUAUUUCUCCCCUCAGUUCUAAGUUUGCUCCAUAUUUUUGGGAGCUCUAAUGUGAGGCAAUGGUACAAAAUAACCGCAUAGAGCUUCUCAAUCAUCCUGUGUGUAAAGAAUAUUUACUCAUGAAAUGGUUGGCUUAUGGAUUUAGAGCUCAUAUGAUGAAUUUAGGAUCUUACUGUCUUGGUCUCAUACCUAUGACCAUUCUCGUUGUCAAUAUAAAACCAGGAAUGGCUUUCAACUCAACUGGAAUCAUCAAUGAAACUAGUGAUCAUUCAGAAAUACUAGAUACCACGAAUUCAUAUCUAAUAAAAACUUGUAUGAUUUUAGUGUUUUUAUCAAGUAUAUUUGGGUAUUGCAAAGAAGCGGGGCAAAUUUUCCAACAGAAAAGGAAUUAUUUUAUGGAUAUGAGCAAUGUUUUUGAAUGGAUUAUCUACACGACGGGCAUCAUUUUUGUGCUGCCCUUGUUUGUUGAAAUACCAGCUCAUCUGCAGUGGCAAUGUGGAGCAAUUGCUGUUUACUUCUACUGGAUGAAUUUCUUACUGUAUCUUCAAAGAUUUGAAAAUUGUGGAAUUUUUAUUGUUAUGUUGGAGGUAAUUUUGAAAACUUUGUUGAGGUCUACAG
rnacentral:sRNA from 1 species